rnacentral:rRNA from 1 species
UACGGAGGGUGCAAGCGUUAAUCGGAAUUACUGGGCGUAAAGCGUGCGUAGGCGGCCUGUUAAGUCAGAUGUGAAAGCCCCGGGCUUAACCUGGGAACUGCAUCUGAUACUGGGAGGCUAGAAUGUGGGAGAGGAGAGUGGAAUUUCCGGUGUAGCGGUGAAAUGCAUAGAGAUCGGAAGGAACACCAGUGGCGAAGGCGGCUCUCUGGACCAACAUUGACGCUGAGGCACGAAAGCGUGGGUAGCAAACAGGAUUAGAUACCCUGGUAGUCCACGCCGUAAACGAUGUCAACUAGCCGCCGGCCUCACUCUAGAGGUCGGUGGUGCAGCUAACGCAUUAAGUUGACCGCCUGGGGAGUACGGCCGCAAGGUUGAA